UUAAAAUUGUUUAGCUCUAAAAUAAAGAUUUCGACUCUUUGAAUAUCAGAGCUUCUUAAU
rnacentral:tRNA from 1 species